CUGUGGCUUAGUUGGUUAAAGCGCCGGUCUAGCGAAUACGGAGUCGUGGGUUCGAAUCCCACCAG
rnacentral:tRNA from 1 species